UUGAUGGCCGACACGGGAGUCCCGGGACAGCGGGACUGAGAGUGGGCCAGACGAUCCGGCCCUUACCGUCGGACCUGAUCCGGGUCAUGCCGGCGAAGGGAGGGCCAUGCCACCGGAC
rnacentral:ncRNA from 1 species